rnacentral:lncRNA from 1 species
AAAAAAAUUGGCACAUGGGAAACUUAAAAACGGAAAACUAAAGAAUAGUGGACAGAUCCAUCUAUAUGAUGAUGAGAGCUUUUGUUGGUGGUGUAUCCCACAACCCUAAUAUGACAUGGAAGCCUUCACUAAACUUGGCCAUGUCACAAUAAAAUGACCAAAACCAAACCGUAGCUGCAAAAAUUAUAAAGGAUAAAAUGAGCCUUCAGUCUCAAAUAAAUAAUUCAAUUGUUUCAAAGUGAUCAAAAUUGAUAUUUCAAUUACAACAUUAUGAACAGACAUCUAUAGUAAAAACAUAAUAACAUAAUUUAAGAAUAAUUAAGUAAUUGAACGGACAUAAUUUUAUUAUUCUAAAAUUAUCCUUCUCUUUUCAAAACAAGAACUCAUAUCUCUUCUGCUCCAUGUCUCUAUAUCUAAGCUGGAUGGUAUUUAUUAAAAAAAUCAUGUUAAUCAUUCACACUCGUUGAUAUUUGAUGUUAUUGUAUGACUUAUUAUUAGCAUUUCAAUUCAUAAAUGUAAUGAUUGAUAAUUACUUAAAAAUCAAAGUAUAAAAAUGCCAAAAUUGUUUUACCAACCAUGUGUUGGCCUAAGGGCGUAAAGUUUGACUAGAUCCCCAUAAUGAUCAAAAGGUUAAUGAUUCAAUUUCUAUAAACAAUAUUUGUUAGUAGAGACACUCAUACGCCCUAAAAGAAUAGUUAUUUACCCAAACAGAUCAGAGAAUACUCUUAGUACUAAAAAUACAAAAAAGAAAAAAACUGUAACGUUGGAAUUCACUUAACAGUUAGCAAUGAUAUCAAUAUAGGCAUAUUUGAUCGCAUACGCAUGCCUCUUGAAUCUGUAACGUAAUGACAGACCUUUAAUAAUGUCUGAAUUGCAAGUUAUUGUAUCUGUGUGCCUCUUGUUGUAUUUUGUGACUAGGUUUUAUAGUACUAUUUUAUAACCAUUGCUAGUUUAUUUAUCAUAGGCCACACUCAUUAACCAUUCUCAUACUAUCCAACUACUGUUAUGAAAACAUAGCUCCAUCUAUAUCUAUACUAAUAGAUAAAAGGAAAACAUAAAAUAACUACUUAUAGUGUAAUUUGUGUUUACCUAUUUUAUACUUCAUAAUUUAUAAAUGAAAGUUUCUAUAAAUUAUGAGCCUAACAAUGUAAACUAAUGAUUCUUUUGUAAACUGCUAGAGCAAUUGUUAACCGCUACAAUUUUGUUAUUUUGAAGUAAACAUGGCAUAAAACGUGGAUAAGUGAAAUAACUUGAACGUGGAUAAGUGUAAUAACUUGAACGUGGAUAAGUGAAUAACAUAAUCAUGACAAUUUUCCUUUUUCCUUUUUGAAUAAAAUGUGCAAAACAUGAUUGAUCCUGUAAAAGUAUAAAGUGAUGCACCAAUAAUUUUGCUUCUCACUAUUACUAUCAUUUCCCACUGCAUACAUUUUUUCUUCUCAAUUUUUAUUAUACAUCCUCUUCUUUCAACCUUCAGGUAUUCUCUUCUCUGUCCCUCUUUUCAAUUAUUUUCUCCCUUAUGUAAUAAGAUAAUGAUGUAAUAAUGAUAAUUAUUUUCUACAGUCAAGAGAUUAUUUUAUUACUCUUCCCCUAUUUUUGAUAUGAAGUAUUAUACAUUGAGUUGCUUUGAGUUCAUCAUCUUGAUAAAUCAUACUUUUUCAUGUUAAAUUAUCAAUCAUAAAAUUUAUUAAACAUAGUCUAAAUUCAUGAAAAUGAAAUAUUUCUCAUCUUUACAUAUUGGGUUUUAACUUUUAAAAUCAUUUUUCACUUUAUACUCAUUCAACUGCAUGCAUUAUAAAAGUAGUUUUUCGUCUUGCUAAUUGCGGAGGCAUGAGGGACAAUAUAUGUUAAUUAAAAUUAGAUAUAUGAAUUUUGCUAAUGACUCAUUAUAUAUGUCAAUAUUACCAAGUGAAUGAACACAUCAACAAAUUACAAGCACUCUCCUACAAUCAAUAAUCUGGAUCUUGAUCCAAACACAACAACAUAGAACACAAAAAUAUAUUAUAGAACACAAAAUAUUCUAAAGUGAAUCAAUACAUCAACAUAGAACACAAAAUAUUCUCAAGUGAAUCAACGUAUCAACAAAUUAUAAGCAAGUAAUGCAACAAUAUAAUAAAAUAAUAUCAGGAGGAAUUUAAGCAGAAAUACCGGGAGGAUUUUAAGAAGUGAAUAUUUUAUAAAUGAAACAUAAUUUAGUAUAUAAUAUUAUAAUCAUUUUCUCUCAUCAGGUGGAUUAACACAUUUAUUGAUAGAUGAAUUUAAUUCAUAUUAAAAAUGAAGUUCAAAUGUUGUUUUCUAAGUAACUAUUGGUAGUACUCCGAGAACAUGUGGAUUGUCCGAAAUGAAUUCAAUUUUGCUAUCUUUUAUAUCCAUCCAUAAGAAUCAUAUUUCCUAUGUAAUAAACACAUUGAUGUCAUUAAUUUUGUAAUUACAAAAAUGGAAAAGGGGUGGGAGACAGAGGAAUUAGGUUGAUUAAAAUAGGAGGAUGUGAGGGAGGGAAGAAUUUGAAGAAGCAACAAAGAAAGGUUCCCAUUUCUUAUGUUUUAUUUUCUCUCUAUGCAAUGUGAGUCCAUCUCACUUCUCAUCAUCCCUUGUUCUAAUAUAUCUACAAUUAAAAAAAACUUCCAAUAAAAAACAACUUCAAAAAAAGGAACAAAAAAAACAAAUGAAUGCAUACACAUAUAUAUAAACACACACAUAAUGAGAAGACUAGGGUGAGUCGUCACAAAAUGAGAAAGAGAAAGAUUACAAAUCAAUAAUCAAGCAAUUAAAAAGCGAAAGGAGAACCAUUACCUUCUGACAAGUAAAACGAAAAGGCUAGGGUGAGCCGUCACAAAAUGAGCUCCAGUGGCGACAAAUCAUUAUCUUUUGACGAGCAAAAGGAGAAGGAUUGGGUGAGUCGCACCUCCUUCAAUCUUAGAAGGAAGAGAAGAUUAUACCUCUCACCAUGAGCCGCAAUGCAGAGAGUGAAUGUUGGCUGAAACAAAGACAAAUUGUAAUCAUAAUUUUGG